AGCGUUGUCCGGAAUUAUUGGGCGUAAAGAGCUCGUAGGCGGUUUGUCGCGUCUGCUGUGAAAGCCCGGGGCUCAACCCCGGGUCUGCAGUGGGUACGGGCAGACUAGAGUGCAGUAGGGGAGACUGGAAUUCCUGGUGUAGCGGUGAAAUGCGCAGAUAUCAGGAGGAACACCGAUGGCGAAGGCAGGUCUCUGGGCUGUAACUGACGCUGAGGAGCGAAAGCAUGGGGAGCGAACAGGAUUAGAUACCCUGGUAGUCCAUGCCGUAAACGUUGGGCACUAGGUGUGGGGGACAUUCCACGUUUUCCGCGCCGUAGCUAACGCAUUAAGUGCCCCGCCUGGGGAGUACGGCCGCAAGGCUAAAACUCAAAGGAAUUGACGGGGGCCCGCACAAGCGGCGGAGCAUGCGGAUUAAUUCGAUGCAACGCGAAGAACCUUACCAAGGCUUGACAUGGACCGGACCGCCGCAGAAAUGCGGUUUCCCUUCGGGGCCGGUUUACAGGUGGUGCAUGGUUGUCGUCAGCUCGUGUCGUGAGAUGUUGGGUUAAGUCCCGCAACGAGCGCAACCCUCGUUCUAUGUUGCCAGCGCGUUAUGGCGGGGACUCAUAGGAGACUGCCGGGGUCAACUCGGAGGAAGGUGGGGACGACGUCAAAUCAUCAUGCCCCUUAUGUCUUGGGCUUCACGCAUGCUACAAUGGCCGGUACAAAGGGUUGCGAUACUGUGAGGUGGAGCUAAUCCCAAAAAGCCGGUCUCAGUUCGGAUUGAGGUCUGCAACUCGACCUCAUGAAGUCGGAGUCGCUAGUAAUCGCAGAUCAGCAACGCUGCGGUGAAUACGUUCCCGGGCCUUGUACACACCGCCCGUCAAGUCACGAAAGUUGGUAACACCCGAAGCCGGUGG
rnacentral:rRNA from 1 species